rnacentral:rRNA from 1 species
UACGUAGGGUGCAAGCGUUAAUCGGAAUUACUGGGCGUAAAGCGCACGUAGGCGGAUUUGUAAGUUAGGGGUGAAAUCCCGGGGCUCAACCCCGGAACUGCCUUUGAUACUGCAAGUCUCGAGUCCGGAAGAGGUGAGUGGAAUUCCUAGUGUAGAGGUGAAAUUCGUAGAUAUUAGGAAGAACACCAGUGGCGAAGGCGGCUCACUGGUCCGGUACUGACGCUGAGGUGCGAAAGCGUGGGGAGCAAACAGG